UGGCUUAGUUGGUUAAGGCACCAGACUAGCGAUAUGGAGUCGUGGGUUCGAAUCCCAC
rnacentral:tRNA from 1 species